AGAGUUUGAUCAUGGCUCAGAACGAACGCUGGCGGCAGGCUUAACACAUGCAAGUCGAACGCAUCCUUCGGGGUGAGUGGCAGACGGGUGAGUAACGCGUGGGAACGUGCCCUUCAGUUCGGGAUAACCCAGGGAAACUUGGGCUAAUACCGGAUACGUGCGAGAGCAGAAAGAUUUAUCGCUGAAGGAUCGGCCCGCGUCUGAUUAGCUAGUUGGUGGGGUAAUGGCCCACCAAGGCGACGAUCAGCAGCUGGUCCGAGAGGAUGAUCAGCCACAUUGGGACUGAGACACGGCCCAAACUCCUACGGGAGGCAGCAGUGGGGAAUAUUGGACAAUGGGCGCAAGCCUGAUCCAGCCAUGCCGCGUGAGUGAUGAAGGCCUUAGGGUUGUAAAGCUCUUUCGUCCGGGACGAUAAUGACGGUACCGGAAGAAGAAGCCCCGGCUAACUUCGUACCAGCAGCCGCGGUA
rnacentral:rRNA from 1 species